GCUUGUCUCAAAGAUUAAGCCAUGCAUGUCUAAGUGUAAAUAAGUCUAUACUGUGAAACUGCGAAUGGCUCAUUAAAUCAGUUAUCGUUUAUUUGAUGAUCUCUUACUACUUGGAUAACCGUAGUAAUUCUAGAGCUAAUACAUGCAUCAAACCCCGACUUCUGGAAGGGGUGUAUUUAUUAGAUGGAAACCAAUGCAGGGCAACCUGGAAUAUGGUGAUUCAUAAUAACUCGCGGAUCGGUUUACCGAUGCAUCAUUCAAGUUUCUGCCCUAUCAGCUUUGGAUGGUAGGGUAUUGGCCUACCAUGGCUUUAACGGGUAACGGAGAAUUAGGGUUCGAUUCCGGAGAGGGAGCCUGAGAAACGGCUACCACAUCCAAGGAAGGCAGC
rnacentral:rRNA from 1 species